AACGAACGCUGGCGGCAUGCCUAACACAUGCAAGUCGAACGAGACCUUCGGGUCUAGUGGCGCACGGGUGCGUAACGCGUGGGAACCUGCCCUUAGGUUCGGAAUAACUCCCCGAAAGGGGUGCUAAUACCGGAUAAUGUCUUCGGACCAAAGAUUUAUCGCCUUUGGAUGGGCCCGCGUUGGAUUAGCUAGUUGGUAGGGUAAAAGCCUACCAAGGCGACGAUCCAUAGCUCGUCUGAGAGGAUGAUCAGCCACACUGGGACUGAGACACGGCCCAGACUCCUACGGGAGGCAGCAGUAGGGAAUAUUGGACAAUGGGCGAAAGCCUGAUCCAGCAAUGCCGCGUGAGUGAUGAAGGCCUUAGGGUUGUAAAGCUCUUUUACCCGGGAUGAUAAUGACAGUACCGGGAGAAUAAGCUCCGGCUAACUCCGUG
rnacentral:rRNA from 1 species